AUUGAACGCUGGUGGCAGGCCUAAAAAAUGCAAGUCGAGCGAGCGGCGGACGGGUGAGUAAUGUCUGGGAAACUGCGUGAUGGAGGGGGAUAACUAAUGGAAAAGGUAGCUAAUACCGUAUACCAUCAGAUGUGCCCAGCUGGGAUUAGAUAGUGGGUGGGGUAAAGGAUCACCUAGGCGACGAUCCCUAGCUGGUCUGAGAGGAUGACCAGCCACACUGGAACUGAGACACGGUCCAGACUCCUACGGGAGGCAGCAGUGGGGAAUAUUGCACAAUGGGCGCAAGCCUGAUGCAGCCAUGCCGCGUGUAUGAAGAAGGCCUUCGGGUUGUAAAGUACUUUCAGCGGGGAGGCGUUACCCGCAGAAGAAGCACCGGCUAACUCCGUGCCAGCAGCCGCGGUAAUAC
rnacentral:rRNA from 1 species